ACGCUGGCGGUGUGCUUAACACAUGCAAGUCGUGCGACGAACCAGACUUCGGUCUGGGGCAAAGCGGCGAACGGGUGAGUAACACGUGGGUAAUCUGCCCCGAUGACUGGGACAACCCGAGGAAACUCGGGCUAAUACCGGAUGUGGUGCCUGGACUCAAGUCCGGUCACUAAAGGUAGCUUCGGCUUCCGCAUUGGGAGGGGCCCGCGGCCCAUUAGCUUGUUGGUGGGGUCAAGGCCUACCAAGGCAACGAUGGGUAGCUGGUCUGAGAGGACGAUCAGCCACACUGGGACUGAGACACGGCCCAGACUCCUACGGGAGGCAGCAGUGGGGAAUCUUGCGCAAUGCGCGAAAGCGUGACGCAGCAACACCGCGUGAGGGAAGACGGCCUUAGGGUUGUAAACCUCUUUCAGAUGGGACGAAGGUGAUGCGGUGAAUAGCCGAUGUCAUUGACGGUACCGUCAGAAGAAGCUCCGGCUAACUACGUG
rnacentral:rRNA from 1 species